AAGUAACACAGUUAGUGGUGUAGGGAAGCAAACGAAUGUAACACCAAUUGAAAGUCCUUCAACAAGUAGAGAUGCACACAUGUUUCAAUCAUUUGAGAUACCCUUUUGUAGAAGUAUUUGGAACUCAAUUUGGAAGAUAACUAUUAAUAAUUUCAUUUGUAAAGAUACGAUUUGUAAAAAAGUAUAUACAAAGUGGUUUUGCUGGUAUUAAAUAAAUAAAUAAAAAUACGUUG